rnacentral:rRNA from 1 species
UACGGAGGGGGCAAGCGUUGUUCGGAAUUACUGGGCGUAAAGGGCGCGCAGGCGGCUGCUCAAGUCAGGCGUGAAAGGCCUGGGCUCAACCCGGGAAUUGCGCUUGAGACUGGGCUGGCUUGAGUGCGGGAGAGGAUGGUGGAAUUCCCAGUGUAGAGGUGAAAUUCGUAGAUAUUCGCAAGAACACCAGUGGCGAAGGCGGCUCACUGGCCCGGUACUGACGCUGAGGUGCGAAAGCGUGGGGAGCAAACAGG